GGAUUCGUGCGCGGUAAGAAGCUGCGCGGUAGCGCGGUGAGGUGAGGUUCUCAGCCACCAAAGCUGCAGGGUCUCGUCGUUCGUUCCCUCUGGCCUGGCGGAACUUGCGUGGGAAGCUGGGAGGACAGAAGGCUUAGCCGCUGGGUCCCUGAGCUGGCUGGAGCGCGGGCUGUCUAGGGGCGGCGACCUCAGCUGUUGGGCUCCGGCUGCUGGGGGCUGUGCGUCCAGCCGCCCUGGAAUCCGCCUGUGGGUGGGCCGCUUGGCUCUCCCACUUCACCCUCUUGAUAACCCAGAGCCUCCCCCUUCCCACGUACGUAGGGGAAGGAUAAUCUACUUCCUUUUGAACAGCUUCGGUCCCCACUAUGACAGUCGCAUAAACUUCAGCGAAGAGUGCGCUGUACCACUGAUGAAAUUAUGACCAGGUGGGCCCGAGUUAGUACCACAUAUAACAAGAGACCCUUGCCUGCAACAUCAUGGGAGGACAUGAAGAAGGGAUCCUUUGAGGGAACAAGCCAAAACCUACCAAAGCGUAAACAACUUGAAGCCAAUAGGCUAUCCCUCAAAAAUGAUGCACCCCAAGCAAAACAUAAAAAGAACAAAAAGAAAAAAGAGUACUUAA
rnacentral:lncRNA from 1 species